UGUUACUUAGGUUAGCUUUUAUUUUGCUGGAGGCUCUCAGAGGUGCUGCUGCUGGUUGGCAACGCCAUUAAGUCAUAAACUGGCACAGACACUGACGUAAUUUUGCAACUGUACUUCAUCAAACCAAACUUCUUUUUCCUAACUCAAUUUUCUCUCAGGCGAACAGUGGCAUCACAGGAAGAGGCUCUAAUAGGCAUGUGUGGAUGUAAUGAACUGACUUGAAUGUUUCCAGGAGUGCCUGUUACGUGCCAAACUGUUAGGCUUAGCAUUUUCAUGUACAUACAUUCUCAUUCGAUUGUCGGAACAACACAGCGAAGCAGAAGUGUUGGGCAGCUAUGAGGCUCAGAGAAGAGCCCCCCACCCUAGGCCCAUUCCCUUACUCACCCCCGCUUGGCAAGAACACGUGAAGAACUGACAGAAGACGCUGCAG